AUGGAAGUGAUGAUUAUUUCCCCAGAUGAUCGACGCUGAACAAACUGAGCGUUUUUAUUUCUCUUUGAAUUUAU
rfam:Ricinus communis cultivar Hale ctg_1100012345178, whole genome shotgun sequence.